rnacentral:rRNA from 1 species
UACGAAGGGUGCAAGCGUUACUCGGAAUUACUGGGCGUAAAGCGUGCGUAGGUGGUUGUUUAAGUCUGCUGUGAAAGCCCUGGGCUCAACCUGGGAAUUGUAGUGGAUACUGGGCGACUAGAGUGUGGUAGAGGAUAGUGGAAUUUCCGGUGUAGCAGUGAAAUGCGUAGAGAUCGGAAGGAACAUCUGUGGCGAAGGCGACUAUCUGGGCCAACACUGACACUGAGGCACGAAAGCGUGGGGAGCAAACAGG